UUUGAUAAUCUUUGAUAUUACACAAAUAAAUAAAUAAAUGCAUCACCGUCAGAGGAAACACACCGACACAAAAGCUGCAGCCCGGCAGAGGCAUCUUCCCCGUGUCGGCAAGAAGGAGCAACAUGCUGGGUGUACCUUCGAGUUGGAUUUAUUAGGAAAGCAUCUUCUGUAGGAGACAGAGAUCAGAGAACGCGAAGUGUAAGGCCAUCUCUGCUGGUGGGGGAAUCUUUGCUGCAAUGCCUGCCAGCAUCCACCAGAGAGCAGAGCUGCUCUGAAGCCUGAGCCUUUCAUGCUUUAGAAAUCAAUGGAGACAGCUACACAACCAGAUCCUGGCCAAACAACAUGGAUUGCAGUUCAUUUCAAAGGUGAAAUGGGUGGUAUAUCAGACAGCUUAUUAAGGAGACAAGCUUGCUGCUUUCCCAAAGUGGGAUGACAGAACAAGUCACGAUCUUGUGGGGAAGGAAAACAAGAUCCCUGUUGAAGUCUACAGUGUGACUGACUCUGAAGAAAGACUCUGAGACCCAUUGGUGUUUAAUGAACCUUAUUGGCCUGUGCAAUAGGAACUGGCUACACAGUUCUUUCAAAAUGAUUUAUUGAAUAUUGAUUUAUUGGAUGGACUGCAAGAGACAUGGAAAAAAGGAAGAACUGACAAGCAGAAUAUGAAAUAAAAGGGAACAUAGCUUCUGCAGCUUCACCCUGUUCCAGACGGAGCAUGGAAAUGAAGAAAACAAUGCCACAUGCCACCCCAUUCAAUGAAUCAGGAAGGCUGCUUUUGUUUAUCCUUGGUUGGAUAUAAUCUACCUUCUUCAGUGAUUCUUGAGAGACUCUGAGGAGGAGAACU